GAUGAACGCUGGCGGCGUGCCUAAUACAUGCAAGUCGAGCGAACAGAUGAGGAGCUUGCUCCUCUGACGUUAGCGGCGGACGGGUGAGUAACACGUGGAUAACCUACCUAUAAGACUGGGAUAACUUCGGGAAACCGGAGCUAAUACCGGAUAAUAUAUUGAACCGCAUGGUUCAAUAGUGAAAGACGGUUUUGCUGUCACUUAUAGAUGGAUCCGCGCCGCAUUAGCUAGUUGUAAGGUAACGGCUUACCAAGGCAACGAUGCGUAGCCGACCUGAGAGGGUGAUCGGCCACACUGGAACUGAGACACGGUCCAGACUCCUACGGGAGGCAGCAGUAGGGAAUCUUCCGCAAUGGGCGAAAGCCUGACGGAGCAACGCCGCGUGAGUGAUGAAGGUCUUCGGAUCGUAAAACUUUGUUAUUAGGGAAGAACAAAUGUGUAAGUAACUAUGCACGUCUUGACGGUACCUAAUCAGAAAGCCACGGCUAACUACGUG
rnacentral:rRNA from 1 species